rnacentral:rRNA from 1 species
GACAGAGGGUGCAAACGUUGUUCGGAAUUACUGGGCGUAAAGCGUGUGUAGGCUGCUCCGAUAGUCGGAUGUGAAAGCCCUGGGCUCAACCUAGGAAGUGCAUUCGAUACUCCGGAGCUUGAGUCCUGGAGAGGAAGGCGGAAUUCGUCGGUGUAGAGGUGAAAUUCGUAGAUAUCGAGAGGAACACCGGUGGCGAAGGCGGCCUUCUGGACAGUGACUGACGCUGAGACACGAAAGCGUGGGGAGCAAACAGG